UUAGUCUGAGGAAACAGACAGCAACAACGCUGAUUACAGCCACUGGCCUCCACAAUUUUUUUUUCUAACUAGCAAUUUCGAGAACAAGUGCCCUGGUGUCAGCUAAAGAAACACAACUGCGGGUUUUCUCAGAUUGAAAUGGUUCUGAAAUGUCACUGAAUAGCUCACAAAGGACAAUCUACGACUACAGAGACAUAAGCACGUAGGCAGGAGGAUGAGAGGCCCGGUAUCCUCCUCUUCCAGGCAUUCAACCUUCCAUGGAGACAGAGAAAGAAAGAUUGUGAGAGGGAGACACACACAUUCAGAUGAGCCUUCAGGGAAUUGUUUGAACUUUUGAACCAGAGAUGGAGAGCCAGAGAUGGAGAGCCAGAGCCCAGCCUGUUCCCACUUUAAUAAACAUUUUUUUCUUCAAUUAAUUAAGGUUUGGAAAGAAAAAAAAUCACAGAAGAGAAGUAAUUUAGCAUGGAGCGCAUACUUUACAGAUGGAUCCUACCUUCGGAUGCUUAUUAAAUCUAUGCAUGAUUGCGCUGGAGAAAAUUAAUCGCAUUGUUUCUCACUAUUCAAAAGGGGUUUGCAAACAGCACGAAAAUAAAAAGGAAAAUGAA